rnacentral:lncRNA from 1 species
UGUGGAAGCAAAGAGGCCCAUCCACCCAGGACGGAAUGAGGAGCUGAUGAGCCAAAUUAUAGGAGACAUUUUUAAAAAGAAAUGAAAUGAGAAGGUCACUUACUGAACAUUUCAUUUAUUUAGAGUGAAUCAAAAAUGACUCUAAGGCUUUAAGUCAGGUGACUGGGAUCACGGAGAUGCCAAUGUCAGAGGCAGGGGAAGAUGAGUUUGCUUUUGAAGAUGCAGAUUUCUAAAUGAAGCCAGCCUCUCCUAGUGAGGGAAUGGUCAGGGGGGCACUUGGAGAUGUAGAAGUGAGGCUGGUGUGAGAGGUGUAAAGUCCACUGAGUGUCUCCUCUACAAGAAGCCUGCCGUGGCAGCCGAGUUGCAGGGUCUUGGAAGUCUGGGUUGGGUGAGGAGGUAGGGGCAGCUCGCCCUCAACCUGCACUGGGCGGAGAAUAGGAGGUGCCUGAGAGGCAGUUUCAUGGAGAGAAGGAAAAUGUUGGCUGGGCAUCUGGCAAGCAGAGUAGACGGUCAGAGGAGCUCCCAGUGCAAAGUAUCAACGCAGAGAUGUGGAAACUGGAUGGGAGCUGAGUGAAUGGGAAAUGGGCUCAGAAGAGAUGGAAGGUUUGAAGAGGGUGAUGGAAAGGGCUCCGGGAGAGAUUCUCUGCGCCUAUAGGAGGAUGGCCGUCAAAGCCUGUAGCUCUGGCUGUGCAAGGACAGGACCUUUCUGCUAGUUCCUCAGAGCAGAAGUGAUGGUGGAAGCUGUGCGAAUGCGCAGUCCCUGAAAAAAACACACGUGCUUCAGAAGAGAAGGGCAAGGACUUGGGACUCAACACCAACAAUGAGGGAAGAGAUUGAGUCAGUGCAUCUUGUGUCCUAAGAAAUCUCUGCUUAUCUUAAGGUGGUAAAGAAUAAAUAACAUUUUAAAACACUUUAAAAUAAACCUAUGCGUAUUUCCUUUCCCCCUUUCUCCUAAAAUGAUGCUACUUUUAGUUGAAAAUUAUUAAGAUGAUAUGCACCAUUUUGGAAAGAAGGUCAAGAAUGAGAAAGGCAGAAAAUUUCGUGUAUGAAGC